ensembl:snRNA
GUGUUGUAAGAAAGGAGAGAACGUUAGCACUCCCCAUGACAAGGAUGUAAGAGGCCCUUGGUCCUGACAACACACAUAUGGUUAAGGCAUUGCCACCUACUUCAUGGCAUCUAACCAUCAUUUUUU